rnacentral:rRNA from 1 species
UACAGAGGGUGCGAGCGUUAAUCGGAUUUACUGGGCGUAAAGGGCGCGUAGGCGGUGUUGUGAGUGUGAUGUGAAAGCCCUGGGCUUAACCUAGGAAGUGCAUCGCAAACGACAUCACUGGAGUAUAUGAGAGGGUAGCGGAAUUUCCGGUGUAGCGGUGAAAUGCGUAGAUAUCGGAAGGAACGUCAAUGGCGAAGGCAGCUACCUGGCAUAAUACUGACGCUGAGGCGCGAAAGCGUGGGGAUCAAACAGG